rnacentral:rRNA from 2 species
UACGUAGGUGACGAGCGUUAUCCGGAAUUACUGGGCGUAAAGCGCACGCAAGCGGUCUAACAAGUCUGGCGUGAAAUCCUCUGGCUUAACCAGGGGCGGUCGCUGGAGACUGUUAAACUUGAGGCGAUGAGAGGGGUGCAGAAUUCCCGGUGUAGUGGUGGAAUGCGUAGAUAUCGGGGGGAAUACCAGUGGCGAAAGCGGCACCCUGGCGUCGUACUGACGCACAUGUGCGAAAGCGUGGGGAGCGAACGGG